AUUAAUAAUUAAUAUAUUUAAUAAAAAUAAUUUUAAUUUAAUAAGUAUUUUAAUGGGGGUUAAAGUAUUUUUUAAAGAAAAAAUUUUUAAAUUUAUAGUUAAUUAGUAUUGUGAAAGAAUUUUGAAAUAUUAUGAAAAAUAAAAUUUUUAGAAAGUAAUUUUUAUUUAUUGUAUCUUGUGUAUCAGAGUUUAUUAAAAAUUUUUAAUUUAUGAAUUAAUUUCUCGAAUUUAAAAGAGUUAAAUAAUUAUUAAAGUUAUUGUAUCAAAAUUAUUUUAAAUAAUUAUUUAGAAAUGAAAUGUUAAUCGUUUUUAAAUAUAUCUAGUUUUUAUAGAAAAAAAUUUAAUUUUAAAUUUAAAAAUUAUUUAAUUAAUUUAUUAAUUAAAUAAUUACUUAAAUUUUAUAAUUUAAGGGAUAAGCUUUAAAUUAAAUUUUUAUAAUAUUAAAUUUUUAUUUUGAAAAUUUUAUAAUUUAUUUUGUUAAUAAAUUUUAUUUUGUUAUAAAUAAUUUCAUUUUUUUUAAAAUUUAAAUUUUAUUUAAUUUUUUAUAUAAAAUUUGUUUAUAAUUAUAUAAAGUUAAUUAUAAUGAUAAAAUUAGUAUAUUAUUUAAUAUUAAAUUAAAAUUAAUUUUUGAUUAAUAAUUAAAUUAAUUAAAAGGAAUUCGGCAAAUAUUUAUUUUCACUUGUUUAUCAAAAACAUGUCUUUUUGCCAUUUAAUUUAAAGUCUAAUCUGCCCACUGAUUUAUAAAAAUUGAAGGGCUGCAGUAUAUUGACUGUACAAAGGUAGCAUAAUCAUUAGUCUCUUAAUUGGUGACUUGUAUGAAAGAUUGGAUGAAAAAUAUACUGUCUCUUAAUUAAUAUAUAGAAUUUAAUUUUUUAUUUAAAAAGUUAAAAUAACUUAAAAAGACGAGAAGACCCUAUAGAGUUUAAUAAAUUAUUUUAUGAAAGUUUUAUUUAUAUUUAUUAAUAAUUUUAUAAAUUUAUUUAUUUAGUUGGGGUGAUAAAAAAAUAAAUUUAACUUUUUUUAAGUAAUUUACAUGGAUAAGUGAUUAAU
rnacentral:rRNA from 1 species